AACGAACGCUGGCGGCAGGCUUAACACAUGCAAGUCGAGCGCCCCGCAAGGGGAGCGGCAGACGGGUGAGUAACGCGUGGGAAUCUACCCAUCUCUACGGAAUAACGCAUGGAAACGUGUGCUAAUACCGUAUACGUCCUUCGGGCGAAAGAUUUAUUGGCGAUGGAUGGGCCCGCGUUGGAUUAGCUAGUUGGUGGGGGAAAGGCCUACCAAGGCGACGAUCCACAGCUGGUCUGAGAGGAUGAUCAGCCCCACUGGGACUGAGACACGGCCCAGACUCCUACGGGAGGCAGCAGUGGGGAAUAUUGGACAAUGGGCGCAAGCCUGAUCCAGCCAUGCCGCAUGAGUGAUGAAGGCCCUAGGGUUGUAAAGCUCUUUCACCGGUGAAGAUAAUGACGGUAACCGGAGAAGAAGCCCCGGCUAACUUCGUGCCAGCAGCCGCAGUAAGAC
rnacentral:rRNA from 1 species